AUCCAGAGACCACACUAAAAUGGUGGCUGACGUGCAGACAGGGGAAACUCCUUUCUAGUUAUGGCCACGAGGCAGGAUGCUGAGGUGUUGUCUAGGCUCAGUUGGAUCUCCAAGUGGCGGUACCGUUCUCUCCACUUCAAAAAUACACAGAAACAUGUGGAAAUGUUCUGUCACACAGAUUGAAAAGCAUGUGCACCAAAUUUUCACAGACCUGAUUCGAAUGUAGAUAAAAGUGCAAAAUCCAGAGGGGGGAACACGCCAUAGAAAUCCUGCCUUCUAUACUAUAAUUUAAUCAUCGUGUGCCACAGAAUGUCUUUGCAUAAAUUACAACCACAAUGAUAGCAUCACUUUCACAAAAGGUGGCCUCUAAUCGAUCUGACUCUCCAAGAGAUGGCUGGGUUUUUCAAAGCAGAGAAAUGAUGUCCUGCAGUCUUAAAGAGCUGUUGAUUGCACCUGGGGCUCCCGUGGCUGGCGCCCAUCGAGCAGCCCAUCCUAGCUGUUCCCUUGUUCAGCUGAUUUUCUUUUUUAUCUUGACAUUUGCUAACCGCCUUUUUUUUUUUUUUUUUUUUUUUUUUUUUUUCCGGGAAGAGAGGAUUAUUGGCAACUGGCACCACCCCCACGUCUGGAGGAGGGACGUUUCUAGGAUGACCCCCAGAGUGGAGAAAUAGCCGAGGUAACCUUUUUGCUAUGAAUGUCUUCCCCUGCCUCCGUCUUCUGUUCCUUUCCUUUCCCCCAUCCCUUGAACAAACAUGAUUUUUAAAUUCCCCUCAUUUUUAGUGCUUUGGAGUCUUCUCAGAUCUGGAGGAGAACAGUUCCUGAGCUGCGCGGAGCAGUUCCGGAGCCCUGGCUGCCUUUCCCCGGGCCUAAGCCCCCAAGAAGAGAGUCCUUUUCAGGACCAUGGGAGCAUGUUUUAAAAGGCUUUCUAUUGAAGCAAGGCCGUCAGCCAGCCGUGCGUGUCCGCAUUGUGGUGGUCCCAGAGCCUUAUGGACGAUCUCUUUGAAAGAAUAGGGUUGGGAAGAUUCUCAGGACAGAAGCGGCUAAUUUCCAUCCUUGGAGCUUUAUCUCACAAAGGAUAUUUGAUAGAAAGAAAAAAUGGAGUCUGUGGAAGCUUUGCUCCUAUUUCCAAAUGGGUUGACUCUGGAUAGAAAGGCAUAUUUUCACAUUUUUCCCAAUAGAGGAAAGCUUUUAGUGCCAAAAUCCUCAAAGGAGAAUGA